AUAGAAUAUUUGGACUUCAAAGGAUUGUUUCACUUCAGGUGGAAGGCUUGAACUGCAAAAAAUGCCCCUUUGUGCAUAUCCAAGAUUGGGAACAGUGAAGUCUCUGUUAUCAUCAUGCUCAGCUACAGGCUUUGAAACCCCAUGUGAACGGCAAAUGUCUGCAGUCGGGGUGAAAAAUGUCCACUUACACUGUAGCAAAUCACAGCUUGCUUGGGUAAAUGUUCCUUCAUGAGUAUCCGUGUCAGGUGCCAAAAGUCAGGGAAAUACUGUAGAAUGGUGGGACAAAUGUGCCAUGUCAACUGUUCAUUUUCCUUAGAAAUGCACCUGGUAUGAAACAUGCAAGUGAUGCAAAUAAGCAGAAAUGUGAAAGGUAUCUGAAGUGUGACUGGUUGUACUCAUGGGACAAUGAUCAUGGUAGCUGUUUGAGAUACAAACAUUUUCUCAAGCAAUUCAGGUAGUGGGUGCCUUCUGAGGCAGGUGCCCAUUAUGUCGAGCCAGGAAUUUUGAUGGUGAUCAGACUUGCAGAUGAUGUUGAGCUGUCACAGGUUCCAUGCAGUUGGACUUCAGGUCGUUGUGGUGUGACUGGCAGUGCUGGGAAAGAGCAUCCCCUCUAAUAAAAGCCCCACCACACCCCGCGUGUGUUGCCUUUGGGGUGCUGGCUCUACUGGCUGCUGUAGACAUGAAUGAGAUUUCGUUACUGCAUUUAGCUGUGAGCCCUUAAUGAUGCUGUUAGUGUCAUUGCAAACCUCCCAUAGACCUUGUGGGAAGGAGAACUUCCCACUGGGUUUGCAGAGUUGUCCCGUAUCUGUAAAUUCUAAAAUUGCCUCUGGACCCUGGUAGGGGGAUAGAGAGGAAAACAUGUUUUUCUUUUCUUUUCUUUUUCUUUUCUUUUUUUUUUUUUUUCAUUCUCUUUUUCUUCUGUUCCAAGAAAUGUUCCCCAAGAAUUGCUGUAUUUUUCUUCUGCAGGGAUAAGUGCUAAAAGCCUACUCAGCCUCUGCAAUCUAAAUAAGUAACAACGAAUAUCUUGCGAUGAGGUCCACUGUGUAAUAGAGACCUUCUGAAGGUCUUCUUUCUUAAAAAUGCGCCAUUUCAUGUCCGAGAGGAAAGAAAAAGUUCUCAGUCUCUUUUGGAGUGUCUAAUUUAGAUAUUUCUGAGUCCAUCUCCCUAUUUCACCAGAGGCUUUUAGAGAAUUGCCACUCCUUUUAUUCCAAGUAACACUGAAAUUGUACCUGGAGUACCUGGAGUGGUAUUGCUGGAUAUUCCUGGUGUCUGCAUGUCACCCAGACAGGAACUACCCUUCACCUCUGUUUCUCAAGGCUCUUUCAUAUUGUGUUUUAUUGACAUUUUUUUCUUUGGAUUUGUCAUUAAUAUUUGACAACUGUAGUAAUGAACCUCCUGUGUCUUUGCAAGUUAUAUUUACGAUAAAAUUCUCCCCAUUUCAGCAUA